rnacentral:tRNA from 1 species
GCCCCGGUAGCCCAACGGCAGAGGCAAACGACUCAAACUCGUUCCAGUGCGGGUUCGAAUCCCGCCCGGGGUACCA